UCAGGGAAUUACAGGGGUUCCUGAGGCGGAGGCAAAAUAAAGUGGCCCCCCUCAAGACAGGCCCGCUGAGGUUACAGCUUCCCGGCAGAUCAGCGGACGUUCCCCGUUGCCUGAGCAACUGCCUCCGGACGAGUCUUUCCUGCACUUUGUUCGUGAGACGUGCACCCAGGCUCGCCAGAGAGAGGAGGAGACCCUGUCCAGGACUCCACCGGGCAGGCCAUUGUGAUGAGAUGGUGAUAGAAAAUAUGGAGGUCUUUGACGAUGGAUCGUGAAGACGGCUCAGUCCCAGAACAGAUCCUG